rnacentral:rRNA from 1 species
UACAGGGGGUGCGAGCGUUGUUCGGAAUUACUGGGCGUAAAGCGUGCGUAGACGGUAGCGUAAGUCGGGUGUGAAAGCCCCGGGCUCAACCUGGGAAUGGCAUUCGAGACUGCUCUGCUAGGGUGCGGAAGAGGCGAGUGGAAUUCCCGGUGUAGCGGUGAAAUGCGCAGAUAUCGGGAGGAGCACCAAUGGCGAAGGCGGGUCUCUGGGCAACUACUGACGCUGAGGAGCGAAAGCGUGGGGAGCGAACAGG